CUCCCCUUCAUCUUAUCUCUCUCCCCUGGUUCUCCUCCUAGGGUUGGGAUUAGGGUUUGUCCCUCUCUCCUCCCGAUCUUUUGUCUUUGGGUACACCUCAGCUCGGUAAGAUAGAUACCGCUACUGUACCAAGCCAGUUGCCAACCAAUAUGAACUCGGUUACUGGUUGGGCAAACCCUAAAGACCACCAUGACAUUUUUUUUCAAACAAUGCUUGGAAUUCUUUCUCAAGUAACUUCAGUUUCCUAAUAGUAAGAGAUGACAAACAUAAUACUAGAACCGAGUGCUAUAAGUGCUAGUCCAUAACCCAUUAGUGUGGAAAUGUGAAUUGCUCAACUUAUUUUUAUGAACCUUCAAUUUUAG
rnacentral:lncRNA from 1 species